rnacentral:lncRNA from 10 species
UUUAUUCUUUUUUGUUCUUUAUAGAAUAUCCUGUAGAAGUAACAGUGGACUAACAACAGUAAUAAAAAGUCUGAAAGUUAGUUCAAAAUGGAAAAAAUCAUAAAAGCAAAGACCAUGACUCACUAUUCAUCUAACUGUUUCCAGCCUCCCUCCUGACCCAAAAUGACAGAUUAUCCUCGUCCCCAGCAACCUGGCAGCACGUGAAUGGAAACAGCACAGCAAGUCUCUCACUUUCGAUAGAUUGGAUGUCAAGAAUAAAGAGUAAUAUGAUAAUAGCAAGAAGUACCAAAAUAGACUAUUGGAGAUGAGGAGAAUUUCUUAAAAGACAAUAAAAUGGAGAAGUCACUUCGAGGUGAAAGUACUGGCAUUUACUUUAUGGAAGAAAAGAAAAACAGGAAAGAAAUUUAAAUACAACAAGAAAAACUAAUACAUCAAACAUGCCUGAAGUUCAGCCCUGAAUGUAGCCUGUGCUCAAACUGCGAUUCCUACUACACAAAAAUGAGCAAUUAAAAUACAGUGUGAUAGACUCCCACUUCUAGCCAACUGGUACCAGACUUGCCUUCCUGCCAUAAAUAACUGGAAAAAUGGACCAGAUAUAUUAAACAGCUCUUUUCAGGCAUUGGACAGCUGGCAUCUGAGCAAUGUGAUCCUUUGGAGAAGGGAAACAAAUGAGAUAAGAAAACUGAGACACAA